rnacentral:antisense_RNA from 1 species
GGGGGCGGUGGGCGGAUGCCUACCGAGAGACCAGGGGAGCUAAGUGAUUGAUGGAGCUUCCGGAAGUCUUGGCGGCUGUACCAGCGCUAAUGUUCCUCCUUUUCCUGAGGUAUUCUAAUCACAGAAUUACUGGAGCAUCAAGAAGUGCCUGCAUGCUUGGAAGGGCUUCCAGGCAGAUGAACACACCUCAGCACCGGGUGGCAUUUUCCCAGGGUGCAACCCGGAGCGGCUCUGGGUCACACUGACAAGGACAACAGGGUUAACAAUUUCCAGAGACAGCCCGUACAUAGAAGGAAUGUUUACUGAAAAAAAUGAAGAGGGGUCAGGGCAAGGCGAGGAGCGAGAAGCACCCCCAAGGAAACAGAGAAGACCAGUACAACUGUACCUCUUUGCCAGCUGCACCAUCCGUACCAGGUGGCACGUUCCAGAGCCAUAGCCUCUGUUCUAUUCAUCUCCAGUCUCCUGGGGUGGAAGUGUCCAGCGCAGAGACUGCCACACUGCAAGAUGAAGGGGCUGGACACACGGAAGAGAGAGGCGGAACCCUGCACCCCCUCGACCUCAGCCCUACUGAGUCUCC